rnacentral:rRNA from 1 species
UACGUAGGGUGCGAGCGUUGUCCGGAAUUAUUGGGCGUAAAGAGCUCGUAGGCGGUCUGUCGCGUCGGUCGUGAGAACUUGGGGCUUAACCCUGAGCUUGCGGUCGAUACGGGCAUGACUGGAGUUCGGUAGGGGAGACUGGAAUUCCUGGUGUAGCGGUGAAAUGCGCAGAUAUCAGGAGGAACACCGAUGGCGAAGGCAGGUCUCUGGGCCAUAACUGACGCUGAGAAGCGAAAGCAUGGGGAGCGAACAGG